rnacentral:rRNA from 1 species
UGGGGAAUAUUGGACAAUGGGCGAAAGCCUGAUCCAGCCAUGCCGCGUGUGUGAAGAAGGUCUUCGGAUUGUAAAGCACUUUAAGUUGGGAGGAAGGGCAGUUACCUAAUACGUAUCUGUUUUGACGUUACCGACGGAAUAAGCACCGGCUAACUCUGUGCCAGCAGCCGCGGUAAUACAGAGGGUGCAAGCGUUAAUCGGAAUUACUGGGCGUAAAGCGCGCGUAGGUGGUUUGUUAAGUUGGAUGUGAAAGCCCCGGGCUCAACCUGGGAACUGCAUCCAAAACUGGCAAGCUAGAGUACGGUAGAGGGUGGUGGAAUUUCCUGUGUAGCGGUGAAAUGCGUAGAUAUAGGAAGGAACACCAGUGGCGAAGGCGACCACCUGGACUGAUACUGACACUGAGGUGCGAAAGCGUGGGGAGCAAACAGGAUUAGAUACCCGCGUAGUCCCUGAGCGGGCUGGCAAGGCGCAU